CCUACGGGAGGCAGCAGUGAGGAAUAUUGGUCAAUGGCCGGGAGGCUGAACCAGCCAAGUCGCGUGAGGGAAGACGGCCCUACGGGUUGUAAACCUCUUUUGUCAGGGAGCAAGGUGCAGGUCGGGACCUGCUGUGAGAGUACCUGAAGAAAAAGCAUCGGCUAACUCCGUGCCAGCAGCCGCGGUAAUACGGAGGAUGCGAGCGUUAUCCGGAUUUACUGGGUGUAAAGGGAGCGUAGGCGGGGAUGCAAGUUGGGUGUCAAAACUAUCGGCUCAACCGAUAGUCGCACUCAAAACUGCAGCUCUUGAGUGAAGUAGAGGCAGGCGGAAUUCCUAGUGUAGCGGUGAAAUGCGUAGAUAUUAGGAGGAACACCAGUGGCGAAGGCGGCCUGCUGGGCUUUUACUGACGCUGAGGCUCGAAAGUGUGGGGAGCAAACAGGAUUAGAUACCCGAGUAGUC
rnacentral:rRNA from 1 species